rnacentral:lncRNA from 1 species
CUGGGAUUUUGUCUUUUAAGAGCAGCCUGGUCCUGUCUGCUGCAGAGCCUUUUGUCUCGCUAACCUGGAUCCUGACGGGCGCGACAAAAGGUUCUGCGGCUGCGCUGGGGAGACCUCGGCCCUGAGCACUGGCACAGUGCCUGAGGAGGCCUUUACCAGGGCUCUGGGGUUUGGGGGGGUUCCUUCUGACGUGUUUUCUAAGUUCCUUCUGUCCUGAACAAUGAAUUGGUCGGGACAAGCUCAGAAGACAGCUAGGCUCUACAUCCAUUCAAGGCAGGAAAAUAAACUUGCUGCACAGGGUGAGGACAGACCACUGGGAAAGAGAGCCUCUCUCUGGCUGGUGUCAGGUCGAGGCCUAUCAGAAACCUGCUCAAGUUCUCGCGAGAAGACUUGAAGCGAGCGCUCUGAUUGGCCCCAGGCGUGGGGCUUUGGGAACCGUUUUGCCACCGUUCCUGAAGUUUCUGUUGAACCGUCCCACCCACUUUUCCCGCGGCUUCGUCGCACCUUAAUCUCUUGCCUCAGACUCGCUCUGGGUCUGUGGCUUCUGGGAGCCCGCUGAGGGGUCUGGGCGGCGCUCUCACCUGUCCAGCACAGGUUCGUCCUGCCCAGUGCUCACAGCCCCAAACCUGAGCCCGUUCAGCAGGCUCCUCCGCUUCCACCCGAUGGACGGAGCUCUUCGCUGCUUCCGGUUCUCCCGGCACCGUUAGUAGACAUCAGAAGAGAGAAGACUACAAGUGUAGGUUGGGCCGCUUGUAAAGGCCAGGCAGCCAAGGCAAAAUGACAUCCUCCCGGGCAAGGUCGUCACUCUGAGGAGAGUCAUUGUCCCCACCUCCGUCGCACGUUGGAAGCAGAGGCAGCCCAGAGUCCGAGCCGGGGGUUUCUGAGUCGCCUCAAGCUCUGCCCCACGAGGACAGGAAACCUUUGCCAGGACCUCACCUUACAGGCAAAACCUGGUAUCUAACUCCAGAAGGAGAGGUGAACAACCCAGAACUCCGUAACGUUAAAGUUGAGAAGCCACUUUUAGACAUAGGCUACGUAACAUUUUGGCAUAGCCAGCCUGGAGGAAAGCUCAGGUACAAGAGACAAAGGUCCCAAGACAAGCAGAUGGGAGAUCUAUUGGAUCUCACCACCAACAGAUUGACAUUGACCCUAGGCCACACUCUCAAUGAGUGGGAAAGUUUUGAUGAUCCUGACAAUCUAAAACAGGAGCAGCUCGGGCUGGGGAUUUAGGUCAGUGGGGCUGCAGCUGCCUUGCAAGCACAAGGUCCUGAGUUCUAUCCCCAGUACCAAAAAAUAAAAUAAAAUAGGAGCAGCUUAUCUAUUAUUGCAAUACAGUAUGAACUGGGAGGUGUUGAGCGAUUGAUACAGGAUGGUACUUUAAAUUAUGAGACUAUUCUCCAGUUAUAGUAUUUCUGCU